GACGAACGCUGGCGGCGUGCCUAAUACAUGCAAGUAGAACGCACAGUUUAUACCGUAGCUUGCUACACCAUAGACUGUGAGUUGCGAACGGGUGAGUAACGCGUAGGUAACCUGCCUGGUAGCGGGGGAUAACUAUUGGAAACGAUAGCUAAUACCGCAUAAUAUUAAUUAUUGCAUGAUAAUUAAUUGAAAGGUGCAAUUGCACCACUACCAGAUGGACCUGCGUUGUAUUAGCUAGUAGGUGAGGUAACGGCUCACCUAGGCGACGAUACAUAGCCGACCUGAGAGGGUGAUCGGCCACACUGGGACUGAGACACGGCCCAGACUCCUACGGGAGGCAGCAGUAGGGAAUCUUCGGCAAUGGACGAAAGGCUGACCGAGCAACGCCGCGUGAGUGAAGAAGGUUUUCGGAUCGUAAAGCUCUGUUGUAAGAGAAGAACGGGUGUGAGAGUGGAAAGUUCACACUGUGACGGUAGCUUACCAGAAAGGGACGGCUAACUACGUG
rnacentral:rRNA from 1 species